rnacentral:rRNA from 1 species
AUGGCGUCGCUCGCUGUGCUCCUCCUGAUCCUUUCUGCAGCUCGGGCCUCCAAUGCCGCCGCCGUCCGCGUCGGGCUGACGCGCGUCCACUCCAACCCCGAUGUCUCCGCCACCGAGUUCGUGCGUGGCGCCCUGCGCCGGGACAUGCAUCGGCACGCCCGGUUCGCCCGGGAGCUCGCGUCGUCGGGCGGCCGCACCGUCGCCGCGCCAACCCGGAAGGACCUGCCGAACGGCGGGGAGUACAUCAUGACGCUGUCCAUCGGCACGCCGCCACUGUCCUACCCUGCCAUCGCCGACACGGGCAGCGACCUCAUCUGGACGCAGUGCGCGCCCUGCGGCAGCCAGUGCUUCAAGCAGGCCGGGCAGCUGUACAACCCGUCGAGCUCCACCACGUUCGGCGUGCUCCCCUGCGACAGCUCGGUGAGCAUGUGCGCCGCGCUGGCCGGGCCGAGCCCGCCGCCUGGCUGCUCCUGCAUGUACAACCAGACGUACGGCACGGGGUGGACGGCGGGCAUCCAGAGCGUGGAGACGUUCACGUUCGGUUCGACGCCCGCGGACCAGACCCGCGUCCCCGGCAUCGCCUUCGGCUGCAGCAACGCCAGCAGCGACGACUGGAACGGCUCAGCCGGCCUCGUCGGGCUGGGCAGGGGAAGCAUGUCGCUCGUCUCGCAGCUCGGCGCCGGCAUGUUCUCCUACUGCCUCACGCCAUUCCAGGACGCCAACAGCACCAGCACGCUCCUCCUCGGGCCGUCGGCGGCGCUCAACGCCACCGGGGUCCGUACGACGCCGUUUGUGGCCAGCCCAUCGAAGGCGCCCAUGAGCACGUACUACUACCUGAACCUGACGGGCAUAUCGAUCGGCACGACGGCGCUGGCCAUCCAUCCCAACGCGUUCGCCCUGCGGGCCGACGGCACCGGCGGGCUCAUCAUCGACUCCGGCACGACGAUCACGUCGCUUGUCGACGCGGCAUACCAGCAGGUCCGCGCCGCGAUUGAGUCCCUAGUGACGCUGCCGGUGGCCGACGGGUCGGACUCCACGGGGCUGGACCUGUGCUUCGCGCUGACGUCCGAGACGUCGACGCCGCCGACCAUGCCGAGCAUGACGUUGCACUUCGACGGCGCGGACAUGGUGCUGCCGGUGGACAACUACAUGAUCUUGGGGUCCGGGGUGUGGUGCCUGGCAAUGCGGAACCAGACCGUUGGCGCGAUGAGCACGCUCGGCAACUACCAGCAGCAGAACGUUCACCUACUCUACGACAUCCACAAGGAGACGCUGUCGUUCGCUCCCGCCAAAUGCAGCACGCUCUGA